AUACUCUGGUUUCUCUUCAGAACGUAUAAAUCUUUCGCCUUUUACUAAAGAUUUCCGUGGAGAGAGACGAUUUUGAGUUUUAUCUCAAUUUUUUGAGGCCUUGCUCUUUGAGCAGGGU
ensembl:snRNA U5 U5 spliceosomal RNA